rnacentral:rRNA from 1 species
UACGUAGGGGGCAAGCGUUGUCCGGAAUCAUUGGGCGUAAAGAGCGUGUAGGCGGCUCGAUAAGUCCGCUCUGAAAGCCCGGGGCUCAACCCCGGGAGGCGGGUGGAUACUGUCGAGCUAGAGUCCGGAAGAGGCGAGUGGAAUUCCUGGUGUAGCGGUGAAAUGCGCAGAUAUCAGGAGGAACACCGAUGGCGAAGGCAGCUCGCUGGGACGUGACUGACGCUGAGACGCGAAAGCGUGGGGAGCAAACAGG